CCUUCUUCAGCACCUGUGACUGAUGAUGGUGAUGGUGGGAGAGGAGAGUGCAACUUCCGGAUGCCAUCGCUUGUUUUAUGAUACAUCGCAGUAAAUUCACCUCAGUGGAGUGUUCAGCACAUUUUGAAGCAUUAACCUGCUGGCCCUUGGAUCAUUUUCUCCACCCUCCAGCCCUCCUGACUCAUCUCCACUGUGUCUCCCUGUGGCAUCCACGGUCAGUGUACUUUGUAUAUUGCUGAUGUCUGUGUUUAUUAGCCUUACAUGCAAUGUUAUCCAGAGAUGUCACCUACUGACACACACACACACAUACAUAUAGCUCCAGAGCACACGCACGCACACAUACAGUUCACACAGCUAGCAUAGGCAGAC